rnacentral:ncRNA from 1 species
GAAAAAACAUUGAAAAAGAAGAGUAGGUUUUACUGCUAAACAGAGAAUAAGAAUGAAUGCGCUGAGAAUUCUUAUAUAGAAAAGGAAAUUGAAGGUAGCUUUGGAGUUAAUAUAUUGAAAUUAAGUAGGUAUAUUCGUUUAGGCAACGUUAAAGGCUAAUUAAGAUGCAAGCUUGUUUUGCAAAUUAAGGUGGUACCGUGAGAUAGAGCCUCACCCUUAUU